rnacentral:lncRNA from 1 species
GUUUCUUUGCAUGAAGAUCUGCUUUAUUGCACCAAACCUUAAAGAAGAACCAUUUCAGAAGCUGGCUAUGGGAAAGAACCACCAUGUUUUAGAAAACUAGUACAACUUUAAACAUGGGAAUGACAGAGAGAGGAGAAAGGAGACAAAAAAAAUCGAAGAACUUCAAGCAGCCCCUCAUAUCUCUAGGUCACAGCAGAUGCAGGACUGGAAACGGAAAUGAGAUUUGGGAAAUAAUCCCUCGCAUGUACACAGCUUUUCCCUACAGUACAUAGGGAAAAUGGCAGCAGCUUUGAUGAGUGGGAGCUGACACCAGAACACCCCAGCAGAGGAAGGAGAGGAGCGUA